rnacentral:lncRNA from 1 species
CACAUCCAAUAAUAAACCAGUAUAUUAUCUAUUAUUAAAAAUAUAUAUUAUUAUUAGAUCAUAUUUUAUCCAUCUGAUGAUGUGGCAAUUCCUCGAUGAUGUAACAACGCAUGGCAAUGCGAUCUGGUCAUGGAGACCAUACAAUCCGAGCGAUAUGGCGCAGCCCCUUAGGCAGCUCCACAAACCUCAACUGAUCUUCUAGAUAAGAUCGGCAGCUCGACGAUGUCUUCAUCGUCAGGCUGACACCGACUUCACUCGGUCUCCGCUCAGAUCUCCUAUGAGAUCCGUCGAAGCUCCGAAAGGUCUCCAGUGCGCGAAGGGUCCCGAUCUGACAGCUGACAGCAUUGGCAGUCUUUUUCCAUUAGUGGAAAAUCGAUCCUGUUAGGACCGGUAGACACUUAAUAUCUCUGGCCCUCUAACGGCCACUUCUCCGACGAGCGUGGACCUGUAACUUGAUAGGCCUCUCCAUAUAAAAGGGGGGAAGCCAACAUCACAAGGGGUUCCUUUCUCUUACUGGCUCUGGCCACUCAUCUCUCACUAUUCUUCCUCUUCGAUCGUGACUAACUUAAGCAUCGGAGAAUCUCCCAUCACAAAGCCAUCCAUCGGUCUCUCCAUUAUGCAGACUUUCCUUGCAGGUGCCCGGAGGCCAAGCUCGGAGUCCCCUACUCCAGCCUGACAGUGCCUCAUCGUGUCGCCCUGUUACAUCCCCCGGUCGGAGAGGAGUAGCAACAGAAAGGUGCU